GGCGGCGCUCCUCUCCGACGAUUUCGCCGGAACCCUAGAUAUGGCCGAUCCAUAUGCUCGCUACGCCGCGACUUCCGAAAGAGAUUCAAGAGCUGCUUUCGCCGGUUAUUAUCCAUCUGAGGGUCCUGUCUUAACCUCGCGUCACUUGUGGAGCGAAAGUGAUUUACGUGGGAGCUCUUCAGAGUAUCUUCCUAGUGAUAAAUUGCCAUCACUGUCUGGAGG
rnacentral:misc_RNA from 1 species